GAUUUUACACUCUUCAGGGAUCAAUGCACCUCAGCAAGUAUUUGCAGUAACCUCAGGCUGCCUUUCCAAAAUGGAGUAGGGACCGUUUAUUAGUCAACUGGAACACAUCACUGGGAAAUCCUUGGGUUAGCCGAGAGAAGCAAAGAUGAAGACAUAGUCCGUUCUGGCCAGGACAGUGCAAUCAGCCAGCUAAGCUGCUUUGGAAUCGCUUUCUCCCCCGACCUUGUCUCUGUGUCUUUCAGUCCCAGUGUGACUGAUCUACUUGGUGAACUGGAUGUCAUCUCCCACACCGAACUGUCCUGACCCGAAGACUAAAACACUCUGCUCUCAACUCUAGCUUGGCAAUGGAUGCAGAGGAAGCUAUGAAACAGGAUGCGGAGCAGCCCCCAGACACUGAGUCACUGGUUGAAGGUGUGAGAACCCUGCUAAGAUCCCUUGAAGUCCGGCAGCAGCGCCUCCUGGCAAACAUUGCCAGCUGCGAUGAGCUGAUGGCAGAAAUCACCAGUCUUCAGGCUGCUCUCUGUGCUCCUGCCAGAACAGAGGGCAGCUCCUUGCCUGCACAAGAAGAGAACAAGAAUUCCUGAAAUGCUUAAUGAGCGGCUCACCUGAGGGCUAUUGAUGAAGGAAGCCACUACAACUCUCAGUGGCUGUUCCCUACAAAAUAUACUUGCCCUCUAUUCCCUGAACUCUUUCCAUGCGUUUGGUGUGGUGUGUAAGUGCAUGUUGCUGUGACCUGCACUCUCAAUCUCAUUGUCUAGAAAUAAAUGAUAAACUGUUUGCUCUAGUGCUGAGAAAGCUGCAGCCUGUCACAAGUUAAUGCCUGGGGAAAAGAAACAGUCUGACAACAAGCCCAGCUCCAAUCACUGCUGCUAACUCCACUCAGGCUCCCCAGUGUCACCUUGGGUCACUAACAGGAAAGUAGAUUCCCCUCCAGUCUCUGGAUCUUUUAGUGCACA